GAAACAUAAGCUGCUGGCAAAUGGAUUGACCUCGACUUCGGGAAUACCGCUUGACCAAGGGCAACAAGGCCAAGCUGAUCAAGCUGGCACAGGAGGCGAAAAAGGCCAAAACUGGGUGGGUUGAUCAAGGUAGUGAUCAAGCAAUUAGCCGGGGGACCACUGCAUUCUAGAAGGAGGACACGUGAGGCUGAUGCGCUGGAAAGCGAUCCUCAAUUAGUUAUCAAGAACUACAGCUGUGAAACAGAAAGGGGCGUAUCGAUGGAUAAAACGCGCAAGGACGAAGCCGAAUCCUCAUUCGGUUAUUGAAGAACCACUGCAUUCUAGAAGGAGGGCACGUAUCAAUUGAUGAGGCGCGCAAUCCCAGCAAGGACGAAUAUUCGCUGCCGAAGUCGUUAUCCUAGCUGGAGGUUGUUGCGACGAGCCUAUAAAUAGAAGACGCAACACUAUAAUGAGAAUCUUCGGCCGGUCCCUUAGUUUAGUUCUCGCCUGGUUCCAAGUUCUUCCACGUUCCAAAAUAGCCUAGGUUAGAGAGUAGAAAUGGUCAGUAAGAAGGAGAGCGACCGAAGGGAGCGCGGUAGAGAAACUCAGAUUUGUUCGACGCCGUCUCAAGUUUCCGACCGAGAGCUUCUCGGCUUUAUUCGCUUUCUUACUUUCUAGUUUUAGUUGUUUAAGUUUAAUUCCGUGUAGUUGCGUAGUUAAAGAAUAGUUCGUGUUUUGUAUUUCGCAUGUUCACAGUGCUGUUUUGAGUUAUGAGUAUAAAAAUCAAAGUUGUUUGUUUUCGAAA